GACGAACGCUGGCGGCGUGCCUAAUACAUGCAAGUAGAACGCUGAAGGAGGAGCUUGCUUCUCUGGAUGAGUUGCGAACGGGUGAGUAACGCGUAGGUAACCUGCCUGGUAGCGGGGGAUAACUAUUGGAAACGAUAGCUAAUACCGCAUAACAGUAGAUAUCGCAUGAUAUCUACUUGAAAGGUGCAAUUGCAUCACUACCAGAUGGACCUGCGUUGUAUUAGCUAGUUGGUGAGGUAACGGCUCACCAAGGCGACGAUACAUAGCCGACCUGAGAGGGUGAGCGGCCACACUGGGACUGAGACACGGCCCAGACUCCUACGGGAGGCAGCAGUAGGGAAUCUUCGGCAAUGGACGGAAGUCUGACCGAGCAACGCCGCGUGAGUGAAGAAGGUUUUCGGAUCGUAAAGCUCGGUUGUAAGAGAAGAACGAGUGUGAGAGUGGAAAGUUCACACUGUGACGGUAUCUGACCAGAAAGGGACGGCUAACUACGUG
rnacentral:rRNA from 1 species